rnacentral:rRNA from 1 species
UGAGGAAUAUUGGACAAUGGGGGGAACCCUGAUCCAGCCAAGCCGCGUGUGUGAAGAAGGCCUUAUGGUUGUAAAGCACUUUAAGCGAGGAGGAGGCUACUUUAGUUAAUACCUAGAGAUAGUGGACGUUACUCGCAGAAUAAGCACCGGCUAACUCUGUGCCAGCAGCCGCGGUAAUACAGAGGGUGCGAGCGUUAAUCGGAUUUACUGGGCGUAAAGCGUGCGUAGGCGGCUUAUUAAGUCGGAUGUGAAAUCCCCGAGCUUAACUUGGGAAUUGCAUUCGAUACUGGUGAGCUAGAGUAUGGGAGAGGAUGGUAGAAUUCCAGGUGUAGCGGUGAAUGCGUAGAGAUCUGGAGGAAUACCGAUGGCGAAGGCAGCCAUCUGGCCUAAUACUGACGCUGAGGUACGAAAGCAUGGGGAGCAAACA